rnacentral:tRNA from 1 species
UGAGUUUUAUAGGGGCAUAGUUCAGUAGGUAGAACAUCGGUCUUCAAAACCGAGUGUCACGAGUUCGAGUCUUGUUGCCCCUGCCAUUUUGAAAGCAAAUCACACUUUGUGUGAUUUUUUUAUAGGAGAGUAGUUCAAUGGUAGAACGUCGGUCUCCAAAACCGAGCGUUGAGGGUUCGAUUCCUUUCUCUCCUGCCAUAAGAAAUAAAAAAAAACUGGAAUUUCCAGUUUUUUUAUUCU